GGGGGGGAGCAAACGUUUGUUCGGAUUUACUGGGGGCGUAAAAGGGGCGUGUAGGCGGCUUGACAAGUGGUGUGUGAAAUCCUCUGGGCUCAACCAGAGAACUGCGCUCCAAACUGUCGAGCUUGAGAUUGGUAGAGGUAACUGGAAUUCCUGGUGUAGCGGUGAAAUGCGUAGAUAUCAGGAGGAACACCAUUGGCGAAGGCGAGUUACUGGGCCACAUCUGACGCUGAGGCGCGAAAGCUGGGGGAGCGAACAGGAUUAGAUACCCUGGUAGUCCCAGCCGUAAACGGUGAACACUAGGUGUGGGGAGUAUCGACCCUCUCCGUGCCGCAGCUAACGCAUUAAGUGUUCCGCCUGGGGAGUACGGUCGCAAAGGCUG
rnacentral:rRNA from 1 species